UCGAAAAUCAUCUGGCCUAACAAACGAAUAACAUUCUGAUUCUGCUGUCCGAUGGCGGAUAAGGCUGCAGAAAAAAAGGAGGGUGAAGAAGGAGAAGGAACAGAAGAGAAGCAACAGAAGAAUCAGGAGGAUCAGAAGAAGAAGAAUCAGGAGGAUCAGAUGAAUCAGGAGGAGAAGAAAAAGAAGAGGAGGAGAAGAAUCAGGAGGAGAAGAAAAAGAAGAAGGAGGAGAAGAAGAGACAUAAGAAGAACAAGAAGAAUAACAACAACAAGAACAAACAGAAGAGUGCAGAGUUUUAUAGGUAUGUGGAGUCAGUCCUAAUGGGUGUAGCCUACCCCAGCCCAGCACCUCCACUGCAGCUCCCCUACGAUAAGCAGAAGUGGAACCGAGUCACUCCAACGAUACCCAAGGAAGAAUUUAUCUUGGUGCCUCAAUGACUAUGCUCUUCGCUAAAUUUUUGUUCAAAAUGACCAGCAGUCUUACUGUUUGUACAAGUGGGUAAAGUGACUGGACGACGUUGACUGAAGUAAACUUUUCCGCGGAUGUGAUAACGACGAGCGAGCAAGGGUGAUAAUUACUGUGUGCCAAGAGUGAUAUUCCAAGACAGUGGAUUAAAAAAAAUAUUUGAUGUAUAGGAAACCGCAACCACCUGGAAACUACAAAUGACUGCUGCUGCCAGUCUAAGGGAGACAACCAGGCAAAAGAGAAGAUGGUGGUUCACGGCGUGGUACAAUAGAUGAAAGGCAAUCGUCGCAGGAGGGAUGAGACGCCCAGGUUUACCCAGCCAUGUGUCUUUUCGCUGGACUAAUUGACUUUCCCUGUGGUUUGUGCAAUCAGUUAAAGGAUUGUAAAUGAGUUAAAGCCAGACUAUGGUAUUAGCAGGACGAUGACUUUUAUUAUGCGUGACUCUUUCCAUUUUCAUCCUGAAGUUGUUUGUUGCCCGUAGUGUAGCAUUUCGUGUCGUUUCUCCAUACGUGUAUUACCAUAUUAUAUGCCACGUCAUUGAUAUUGUAAGUGCAUAUCAUUGCAUAUCAUUCUCGCUGUUUAAAUAAUAUGCCAUAUUUCGCCACAAGCGUAUGCAGUUACGUAACAUUCUCACUACAUAUCAUUUCAUAUUAUGUGCACUACAAGUGUAGUCAAUACCAUAUCACUAAAGCAUACAUUUCACAUCAUUCCUAUUUGUAAAAUUAUCUCAAGAAAUAAUGAUUUUUGCUGUUAUUUACCAAGCGAUAGAAGGGGGGGGGGGGAUUGUAUUUUGUGUGAAGCGAACAGCAAAGUUGUAUUAAAGGCAAAUACAUGAAGGUUUGCCUUGUUUUUGUUCUUUGGAUAGUAGAAGGUGCACAAUUGGGUGGUGGGUGGGGUUCAAAUUUGGGUGUGUUCUUAAUGCAACUGUCAGUGACUGGAAGAAAAGUCUACUACACUCCAAUCAGCAUAUACGCUCUUGUUACCCAGAACAAGUCCCUAAAUUAUCCGACUGGAUGGUUCGGAGAUCAACGACCAGAUUUGCUUACUCAUAAACUUUUGAAAAAUGUUCGUAAGAUUAAUAUUCAAAUCGGUAAUUAUGGUGAUUAAAAAUGUAGACCGGCCUCUCUGGUAAGGUAUAACAUUACAGAAUUCUGACAGGGACACAGUAAUCAAAAGCGAUUGAAUUUCAUUUUUCUGAAAAAAAUAUGGAUUGAUCGUCUUGCGUAUCUUGAUUAAAAUGUAUUUUAAGACCAUUUCUAACCUUUAUUUUAAUUCAUCCGUGUAUUUGCGUUAGUUUAAUUACCAAGGAACUGAUUUUCGCAAUAAGAAUAAUAAUAAUAAAACUGCACAAAGUUGAUCCUGAUCAGCUUUUUUGGGGCUUCCAACCAAACUUCUGUGUUGUCGGGUCACAAAUUCUUCCGUUGACAAAAUGUUAUUAUUCCUUUUUUCUUCUAAACAGCAGCCAUCACUCAUAGGAUUCGAGCUACUGGAGUUUCUUAAUAACGCCGCUACCUGCAGCCGCACGAGACGCUCACACCCACACACCACCCUGCAAAUCACUCAUCUACUCAUCUGCCCACCCCACUUUUUUUCUCUUCAAACUUUUUGUAAAACAUCAGGUUUAUUACCUGCAUCCCCUUUCCUUCACCAAAACCAAUGUUUACACUUACAUGGCUUUUUUACGACCAGAAAGGUUACGACGACAAAGAAAGUCAGAAAUAUUAUUUAUAUGCUAGUUGAAUUAACCUUUAGUUUGAAAAUAAGGAUGACUGCCAUAUCCAAGAUGCAGAAAACUGUUUUAUUACAUUUUUAAUUUUUUUAAAUUAACAUAUAUGUAAUGCCGAUUUAGAGUUUUCAAACCAGACCCAGACAGCUCCUUGUUGGACUAAUUAGGCAUGUAAUGCUUAUUUCAAGUUCUCAAAAACGAACACUCCAUAUGCCUAACGGUUAAAUAUGUAAGGGUAAUGACCCCUGCAAGUCUUGAGCAACGCAUUUUUGCUUCAGUUUUGCUCUUCAUUACAAAAUGUUCAGUUAAAUAUAGUAUCAGUUUGGUAAGUAUGAUUUCUACACUGUUUCUGAGAUUGGAAUAGUAAGCAAAGAUUCCAGACCAAUGUGAUAAAAAUAUUGAUGAUGCAAAAAAUUAUAGUAUAGUAACAACAAGAAUUUUAAAA